UAUACCCGCGCGGGAGAGACCUGGAUUCCAUGUUUCAUGGGGUCCAUCGGCGCCGAAGGGGCAAAUCCUCCCCGGAACCUCUCAGGCAAAAGGACCGCGUGGGCAGG
rnacentral:ncRNA from 1 species